GAGUUUGAUCCUGGCUCAGGAUGAACGCUGGCGGCGUGCUUAACACAUGCAAGUCGAACGGGAAUGCCACGCUGAUGCGAUUUCGGUCAAAUCAUGUGGCAUUCGAGUGGCGGACGGGUGAGUAACGCGUGGGUAACCUGCCUUACACAGGGGGAUAACACCUGGAAACAGGUGCUAAUACCGCAUAAGCGCACAGGGCCGCAUGGCCCGGUGUGAAAAACUCCGGUGGUGUAAGAUGGACCCGCGUCUGAUUAGCUUGUUGGCGGGGUAGGGGCCCACCAAGGCGACGAUCAGUAGCCGGCCUGAGAGGGUGGACGGCCACAUUGGGACUGAGACACGGCCCAAACUCCUACGGGAGGCAGCAGUGGGGGAUAUUGGACAAUGGGGGAAACCCUGAUCCAGCGACGCCGCGUGAGUGAAGAAGUAUUUCGGUAUGUAAAGCUCUGUCAGCAGGGAAGAAAGAAAUGACGGUACCUGACCAAGAAGCCCCGGCU
rnacentral:rRNA from 1 species